rnacentral:rRNA from 1 species
UACGGAGGGUGCAAGCGUUAUCCGGAUUCACUGGGUUUAAAGGGUGCGUAGGCGGGCAGAUAAGUCAGUGGUGAAAUCCCCCGAGCUUAACUUGGGAACUGCCAUUGAUACUAUUUGUCUUGAAUGUCGUGGAGGUUAGCGGAAUAUGUCAUGUAGCGGUGAAAUGCUUAGAUAUGACAUAGAACACCUAUUGCGAAGGCAGCUAACUACGCGGAUAUUGACGCUGAGGCACGAAAGCGUGGGGAUCAAACAGG